rnacentral:rRNA from 1 species
UACGUAGGUCCCGAGCGUUGUCCGGAAUUACUGGGUGUAAAGGGUGCGCAGGCGGUCUUGUGCGUCAGGAGUGAAAUAUCACGGCUUAACCGUGAGGGUGCUUUUGAUACGGCAAGACUUGAGUACGGGAGAGGAUGAUGGAAUUCCUGGUGUAGCAGUGAAAUGCGUAGAUAUCAGGAGGAACACCGGUGGCGAAGGCGGUCAUCUGGCCCGGUACUGACGCUCAGGCACGAAAGUGUGGGUAGCAAACAGG